rnacentral:rRNA from 1 species
CAGCCGCCGCGGUAAUACGUAGGUGGCAAGCGUUGUCCGGAAUUAUUGGGCGUAAAGGGCUCGCAGGCGGUUUCUUAAGUCUGAUGUGAAAGCCCCCGGCUCAACCGGGGAGGGUCAUUGGAAACUGGGAAACUUGAGUGCAGAAGAGGAGAGUGGAAUUCCACGUGCAGCGGUGAAAUGCGUAGAGAUGUGGAGGAACACCAGCGGCGAAGGCGACUCUCUGGUCUGUAACUGACGCUGAGGAGCGAAAGCGUGGGGAGCGAACAGGAUUAGAUACCCCUGUAGUCCCUGUCUCUUAUAC